rnacentral:rRNA from 1 species
UUGGAGGAUGAAUAGGGAAACCGGUAAAAAGGUGAUGUACCUAGUAGUAUUAGGCCUAAUAUGAUAUUAACUAAGUUAAUUAAAGUUCGAAGUGGAUAGUUGAUUAUGACAGUAUUUACUAAUGUCUUGACCAAGUCACGUGCCAGCAGUCGCGGUAAUACGUGGAAGAUAAGUGUUAUUCAUCGUUAAUUGGUUUAAAGGGUACCUAGACGGUUAAUAAGACACACAAAUGUAUUUAUUAACUAGAGUUUGAUGUAAGAAAGAUGGAGUACGGUGAGUGUAGAGAUAAAAUUCAAUGAUACCACUUUGUAACUGGUAAAGGCGAAGGCAACUUUCUAUGUAAAAACUGACGUUGAGGGACGAAGGCUCGUUUUAAAUAAAAGGAUUAGAGACCCUUGUAUUGUGAGCAGACAAUGAUGAGUGUCAUAUGCAAGAACCAUAAUAUAUAAUAAACCAUAAUAUAUAGUUUAUUAUAUAUUUUUUGUGUAUAAAUGAAAGUGUAAGCAUUCCACCUCAAGAGUAACAUGGCAACAUGCAAACUGAAAUCAUUAGACCGUUUCUGAAACUCGUAGUGAAGUAUGUUGUUUAAUUUGAUAAUCCACAAAUAACCUUACCACAACUUGAAUUACUCAUCGGUGUAGUGCCCACCUUACUUUAAGGUUUUGUUGCACCGGUGAGCAACAAGCGUUGCACGGCUGUCUUCAGUCAAUGUUGUGAAACUAUGGUUAGAUCCAUGAAAUUGACGUAAACCCUUACUUUAUUUAUUAUAAAGUUGUUCGGCCGCUAUAUUGGUAGUGAUACAAGGGACCAAGACAAGUCAUCAUGACCUGAACGUUGUGGGCUAUAGACGUGCCACAUUACCCUUUACAAAAAGAUGCAAAA